rnacentral:misc_RNA from 1 species
GGCAAAGGCGGCGGUGGUGGCAAAGGUGGCGGUGGUGGCAAGGGAGGGAGUGACUACAUGAAGGCUCCCGGCAGCAAGGGUUACAUAUCAAGGUCUGGUUUCGAGAGCAACCCUAAAGGUUACUUCCAGGAUGUCCGUCAGGGAAACAAGCCUGGCGCGGAUACCAUGAAGGCACCUGGUAGCAAGGGUAGCUACACCUCGAGGUCGUCUUUCGAGAGUAAUCCUAGCAGUUACUUUCGUGACCUCCGUCACGGUGGUAGCAGCGGCAACAAUGGUGGAGGAGGCGACAGCGGGAGCCAUGGUGCUGGAGGCAGCAACGGCAGCGAGGGGUCUUGCUGUGUCAUGUAAGGUGGAGGUCUACUGCUUUCAUCUACUCAUCUGGUGUAGGACAUUGUAUGUCGUCCCAAUAAUGUUCUACUAUAUUAUGUUCAAGGGUUAAGUCCAGUAAUGUUCUAAUAUUUUAUGUCCCGGUG